ACAGCCGGCCAUACCCCUGAAUGCAUCCAAUCUCGUCUGAUCUCGGAAGCUAAGCAGGGUCGGGCCUGGUUAGUACUUGGAUGGGAGAUGUAUGUGGGCAGUUUUG
rnacentral:rRNA from 1 species